rnacentral:lncRNA from 1 species
UCAAAUUAAUGCUUGAUCCUGAAUCAAUCAAAGCCUCUCCUAUUGAUGACACAAGGAAGGGUUAAAGCUCCUGAAUCUUCUAGUUUCUGUGGAUGGUUCUUCUUCCUGGGUUUCGCCCACUGCUCCUGAUUUUCUUCAUAGCCCAAAUCAAGUAACCAUUCCAGAUAGUAUUUGAUUUUGUCAUCACCUUCAGGAGUUUGCAAAGAUGUUCUAGGAUUAAGGGGUGCCUCCUUAAGAAUCUUGCGGAGUGAUUCUUUAAUGUCUUCCUUCUCCUUGUCUCUUUCUGAUUUCUUCCUUUCGCUUCUCUUAUGUUUAUUACUCAUCCUUUCCUCCUCUUCGUCAUCACUGCUGCUAAUCUCAAUUGUUUCUUCUUCUAGUCUCCUCUUUCCUCCUGUUGUAAUAACUUUGCAUUCAUCUUUAGGGUUAACAUCAGUAUUAGCCCGAAAUUGAUGCUUCUCUAUGGUUUCAACCCUCUUAGACAGUUGUCCUAUUUGUGUCUCUAGUGAUCUAAAAGUUGC